rnacentral:rRNA from 1 species
GAUGAACGCUGGCGGCGUGCUUAACACAUGCAAGUCGAACGAUGAAGCCCAGCUUGCUGGGUGGAUUAGUGGCGAACGGGUGAGUAACACGUGAGUAACCUGCCCUUGACUCUGGGAUAAGCCUGGGAAACUGGGUCUAAUACUGGAUAUGACUUCUCAUCGCAUGGUGGGGGGUGGAAAGAUUUAUUGGUCUUGGAUGGACUCGCGGCCUAUCAGCUUGUUGGUGAGGUAAUGGCUCACCAAGGCGACGACGGGUAGCCGGCCUGAGAGGGUGACCGGCCACACUGGGACUGAGACACGGCCCAGACUCCUCCGGGAGGCAGCAGUGGGGAAUAUUGCACAAUGGGCGCAAGCCUAGUGCAGCGACGCCGCGUGAGGGAUGACGGCCUUCGGGUUGUAAACCUCUUUCAGUAGGGAAGAAGCGAGAGUGACGGUACCUGCAGAAGAAGCGCCGGCUAACUACGUG